AGUGGCGAACGGGUGAGUAUCACGUGAGUAACCUGCCCCCUGCUCCUGGAUAACUGCUUGAAAGGGCGGCUAAUACGGGGUGUGCCGGCUGGUCCGCAUGGGCCUGGUCGGGAUAGUUUCAUCUUCGGGUGUUUCGGUGGGGGAUGGGCUCGCGGCCUAUCAGCUUGUUGGUGGGGUGAUGGCCCACCAAGGCGGUGACGGGUAGCCGGCCUGAGAGGGUGGGCGGCCACACUGGGACUGAGACACGGCCCAGACUCCUGCGGGAGGCAGCAGUGGGGGGUAUUGCACAAUGGGCGGAAGCCUGAUGCAGCGACGUCGCGUGAGGGAUGGAGGCCUUCGGGUUGUGAACCUCUUUCUCCGGUGGUGAAGGCCCUGUCCGUUGCGGCGGGGUUGACGGUAGCCGGGUAUGAAGCGCCGGCUAACUACGUGCCAGCAGCCGCGGUAAUACGUAGGGCGCGAGCGUUGUCCGGAAUUAUUGGGCGUGAAGGGCUUGUAGGCGGCCGGUCGCGUCCGCCGUGAAAUUCUCCGGCUCAACCGGGGGCUUGCGGUGGGUACGGGCCGG
rnacentral:rRNA from 1 species